UACGAAGGGGGCUAGCGUUGUUCGGAAUUACUGGGCGUAAAGCGCGCGCAGGUGGUCUUUCAAGUCAGUGGUGAAAGCCCGGAGCUCAACUCCGGAAAUGCCAUUGAAACUGUAAGACUUGAGGAUGAGAGAGGUGAGUGGAAUUCCCAGUGUAGAGGUGGAAUUCGUAGAUAUUGGGAAGAACACCGGUGGCGAAGGCGGCUCACUGGCUCAUAUCUGACGCUCAGGCGCGACAGCGUGGGGAUCAAACAGG
rnacentral:rRNA from 1 species